GUGCCAGCAGCCGCGGUAAUACGUAGGUGGCGAGCGUUGUCCGGAAUUACUGGGCGUAAAGAGCGCGCAGGCGGACAUUUAAGUGAGAUGUGAAAUACCCGGGCUUAACCGGGGCAGGGCAUUUCAAACUGGAUAUCUAGAGUGCGGGAGAGGAGAAUGGAAUUCCUAGUGUAGCGGUGAAAUGCGUAGACAUUAGGAAGAACACCAGGGGCGAAGGCGAUUCUCUGGACCUUAACUGACGCUGAGGCACGAAAGCGUGGGUAGCAAACAGGAUUAGAUACCCUGGUAGUCCACGCCGUAAACGAUGAGUACUAGGUGUAGGAGGUAUCGACCCCUUCUGUGCCGCAGUAAACGCAAUAAGUGCUCCGCCUGGGAAGUACGAUCGCAAGAUUAAAACUCAAAUGAAUUGACGG
rnacentral:rRNA from 1 species